GACGAACGCUGGCGGCGUGCUUAACACAUGCAAGUCGAACGGAAAGGCCCUGCUUUUGUGGGGUGCUCGAGUGGGGAACGGGUGAGUAACACGUGAGUAACCUGCCCUUGACUUUGGGAUAACUUCAGGAAACUGGGGCUAUUACCGGGUAGGAGCUCUUGCUGCAUGUUGGGGGUAGGAAAGUUUCGGCGGUUGGGGAUGGACUCGCGGCUUAUCAGCUUGUUGGUGGGGUAGUGGAUUACCAGGGCUUUGACGGGUAGCCGGCCUGGGAGGGUGACCGGCCACAUUGGGACUGAGAUACGGCCCAGACUCCUACGGGACGCAGCAGUGGGGAAUAUUGCACAAUGGGCGGACGCCUGAUGCAGCAACGCCGCGUGCGGGAUGACGGCCUUCGGGUUGUAAACCGCUUUCGCCUUUGACGAAGCGUGAGUGACGGUAAUGGGUAAAGAAGCACCGGCUAACUACGUG
rnacentral:rRNA from 1 species